AUGAAUGAUAAUAGAUUCAUCAUUUCUGAUUGACAUUACAGACGCCAUCCAUUUGGUGUUUCUCUUAACGAUGGAAUUAUCAUUUAUCAUAUGAGGACUCUGUUGUACUAUCUAAUGAAUAGUUAAGUUAACCAAGCCAUCCUUGGGCCUGAUCAUUCAUUAGUUAGAAUCAUAGAGUAAGUUCAUGUUAGGCCUGUAAAUGGGUCGGGUUGGAUCAGGUCUUGAGUGAUCCCAAUCCGAUCUGAUUUCUUGAUCGGAUCUUAAUAUUGGACCCAUACCCAUCCCGAUAAAAAAUCGAGUCGGAUC
rnacentral:lncRNA from 1 species